rnacentral:lncRNA from 1 species
GGUAUUCCAGGAGAGCGCAUGCGCAGACGCAUGGCCACAGACUGCCGGUCAGUGUCAGCAGGCGGUGGGUUAGGGUCCGCAGGCCCAGACCAGGCCGCCGACACCAAUAAGCUACAAGGAGGAGCUUUACCGCUGCCUGUACUACUACUGCCUGCGCUACUUCCCAGCCUGCGGCGUAGGGCGCAGCAAGGGCCUGACGCUUAGCGAGCAGGCGCUGCGCACCAAGCGGCUGUCGCCUGGAGGGCACGUUCAGGCAGAAGCUCCUCAGUGGCCACAAGUCCGCUAGCUCCGGCUACAGCCCUUGCCGCACACUCGCGUCACCUGAGCCUGUGUAGGUGCGCCCCCCAACUCCUCCCCCAGCCAGGUCCCGGGGACGCCGGCAGCGUCCCCCACCCCUGGCGCCGCUCAUCCUGGGCAGGAUCGGCCCCGUCUGAGGCUGCACCGCAUUAGGGAGCUGCACCCCUCGGCUUGACCUCUGAUGGCCGUUGCAACAACAUCAAAGCCUUUGGAACUUUGUAGGGGGAUGCCGAAGGACCUGUUCAAAGUAUUUUCUGUAACUCCAACUGUAACUUGGUUCUAGGAGGAGAGAAUCCAUGUUUGGUCAACAGAACUUUUCGCCGCCACUUAAGUUUACUGCUUCAAUAUCUUUUCCUUACUAAUUGAUUGUUAAUUAAGUAGUGUCCAAGUGAGUUAGCCUUUUUAGGGUUGAUUAAUUAAAAGAGCAGCAAGAAUGGCAUUUUAAAAAAAAAA